CUACGGGAGGCACCAGUGAGGAAUUUUGCGCAAUGGGGGAAACCCUGACGCAGCAACGCCGCGUGAGUGAAGAAGGCCCUUGGGUCGUAAAGCUCUGUCAACAGGGAAGAAGUUACGGAUUUUUAAUAGAGAUUUGUAUUGACGGUACCUGUGAAGGAAGCACCGGCUAACUCCGUGCCAGCAGCCGCGGUAAUACGGGGGGUGCAAGCGUUAUUCGGAAUUAUUGGGCGUAAAGGGCGCGCAGGCGGCCUUGUCAGUCAGAUGUGAAAGGCCAGGGCUCAACCCUGGAAGUGCAUUUGAAACAGCAAGGCUUGAGUACGGUAGAGGAAAGGGGAAUUCCUGGUGUAGAGGUGAAAUUCGUAGAUAUCAGGAGGAACACCGGUGGCGAAGGCGCCUUUCUGGGCCUGUACUGACGCUGAGGCGCGAGGGCGUGGGUAGCGAACAGGAUUAGAUACCCUGGUAGUC
rnacentral:rRNA from 1 species